AACGCGAAGAACCUUACCUACUCUUGACAUCCUCGGAAGCCUGUAGAGAUACGGGUGUGCCUUCGGGAACCGAGAGACAGGUGCUGCAUGGCUGUCGUCAGCUCGUGUCGUGAGAUGUUGGGUUAAGUCCCGUAACGAGCGCAACCCUUACCCUUAGUUGCCAGCGAUUAGGUCGGGAACUCUAAGGAGACUGCCGGUGAUAAGCCGGAGGAAGGUGGGGAUGAGGUCAAGUCAUCAUGGCCCUUACGAGUAGGGCUACACACGUGCUACAAUGGGCGGUACAAAGGGAAGCGAAGCCGUGAGGUGAAGCGAAUCUCAAGAAAGCCGCUCGUAGUCCGGAUUGGAGUCUGCAACUCGACUCCAUGAAGUUGGAAUCGCUAGUAAUCGCGGAUCAGAACGCCGCGGUGAAUACGUUCCCGGGCCUUGUACACACCGACUGUAC
rnacentral:rRNA from 1 species